AUUGAACGCUGGCGGCAGGCCUAACACAUGCAAGUCGAGCGGAUGACGGGAGCUUGCUCCUUGAUUCAGCGGCGGACGGGUGAGUAAUGCCUAGGAAUCUGCCUGGUAGUGGGGGACAACGUUUCGAAAGGAACGCUAAUACCGCAUACAUCCUACGGGAGAAAGCAGGGGACCUUCGGGCCUUGCGCUAUCAGAUGAGCCUAGGUCGGAUUAGCUAGUUGGUGGGGUAAUGGCUCACCAAGGCGACGAUCCGUAACUGGUCUGAGAGGAUGAUCAGUCACACUGGAACUGAGACACGGGCCAGACUCCUACGGGAGGCAGCAGUGGGGAAUAUUGGACAAUGGGCGAAAGCCUGAUCCAGCCAUGCCGCGUGUGUGAAGAAGGUCUUCGGAUAGUAAAGCACUUUAAGUUGGGAGGAAGGGCAGUAAGUUAAUACCUUGCUGUUUUGACGUUACCGACAGAAUAAGCUCCGGCUAACUCUGUGCCAGCCGCCGCCGUAACAC
rnacentral:rRNA from 1 species